CCGGAAUGGGAUUUUAGGAUUCGAUAGAAAGUACGGCGGGAAGGCAGGAGGGUGUUGCCCGCAAGCGCCUCCCCGUCUUAUCUUGUCCUCCGCUGGGGUUCGAAGUAGAAUUGGGGAUGGAGAACUCGCUCAGGUAUGAUGGUGAUUCCAAAUCCCUUCGGAUACAUGCCAAGGAGAAGAUUCCCCUCGCCUCGAAAACCCUAUUGCAGUUAUCUUGGCAGGUACAUGGAGAAUUAGACACCGGGACUGGGACCCCUAGUUAUCUUGCCCUAAUUGUUCGACAUUUCUAUCCUGAGUUAUCAGCCAGCAUGGGUUUUGGCAUUCAGCUCAACAAAGAUGAAAAACCCUGUUAUAGCCUUCAAGGAAAGAAGGCAUUUCCAGUCACAGCCAGUGGUCUAGUGGGGAUAAACUUGAAGGGAAGGUUCCAUUUCGACAAAGAAUAUAAGGAGGCAAGGGGAGCAGUUGAAUUGGCAUGGAGUGUAUUGAAUUUCCAAAAGGAUCAAGAUGUGAGGUUUAAAAUAGGAUUUGAUAUCUGUGACCAGGGGCAUUUCUCACAAGAAAGGAGGGGUUAGCUUCUUGGGCAUGUUGUAAUUGAAGAAGGAGAUUCUUAACGAUCAGUUUGUAUUGGAAAGCUUCUCUGCUUUGCUGAGGUGCCAUACUUCCAGAUCCGGGAAAAUAAUUGGACUCUUAAUGCAGACAUCAAUGGUAAAUGGAAUGUGCGAUUUGAUUUGUAAUCCUUUCUCUUCAUCACAUUUGAGAAAACAAACAGAUCUCAUCAUUCAGAUAGUCAUUUUUGUGUCGAGUUGUCCAAAGCAGAUAGUUGUUGAGAUGUCCGAUUCUGUACUUUGUAGUUCAAACUGUGACUGGUCAAUAACAUAAAUCUCAGAAUCGAUUGGUUUAACCGUA